rnacentral:rRNA from 1 species
GACGAACGCUGGCGGCGUGCUUAACACAUGCAAGUCGAACGGUGAAGCGCCUUCCUUUUUGGUGGGUGUGGAUGAGUGGCGAACGGGUGAGUAACACGUGAGUAACCUGCCCCCUUCUUCUGGAUAACCGCAUGAAAGUGUGGCUAAUGCGGGAUAUUCUGGGUCUGUCGCAUGAUGGGUCUGGGAAAGAUAUUGUUUCGGUGGGGGAUGGGCUCGCGGCCUAUCAGCUUGUUGGUGGGGUGAUGGCCUACCAAGGCGGUGACGGGUAGCCGGCCUGAGAGGGUGGACGGUCACACUGGGACUGAGACACGGCCCAGACUCCUACGGGAGGCAGCGGUGGGGAAUAUUGCACAAUGGGCGCAAGCCUGAUGCAGCGACGCCGCGUGAGGGAUGGAGGCCUUCGGGUUGUGAACCUCUUUCGCCAGUGAAGCAGGCCUGCCUGGUUUGUGGGUGGGUUGACGGUAGCUGGAUAAGAAGCGCCGGCUAACUACGUG